AUGUUUUGCCCUCUCUCCACCACAACUCAACCAAACAAGGUACAACCCCUCUUUUCUCUUACACUUUUCUGCGAUUUACACUAAAGAAGGACGAAAUCCCUUAAUGAAAUUUGUCUUUAUGCUAUUUUGAAUCCGCGAUUCUUAUUGGUUCUUUGAGUUGGGAGGGGAUGCAAGAGGAAUCCCUCAAAAAACCCGUUGUCCCACACCGAAUUGCAAUAAAGAAAUUUGGGUUUUGGGGUUCUAUAUAAAGAAACCCUUUCUCCACUGUUUUACAGACACACACAAGCUUUCACAAGCAAAGAAUUUUAGAGUUUUGAGUUUGUGACAAAAUGACCGACUAGAAUUGGAUACUUUUUCUAUUUCUCUAAUUUUGGGAUUUAGUUUUAAAGUUUUCUUUUGUUUUUGUGGCUGAGUACGAGUGUGGAGGAAGAUCAAGGUCUCCAAAUCCAUUCUCGAUCAAAGUUUGCACAAGAGAAAGACUGUGGAGUUGAGAGGGAAAUGUAUGGUUUUCCCUGGCUUAAUUCUGUGUGCAUGCUCUCUUUGGUGGUGAAUGUGUGCAUGCUCUCUUUUGUUCUGCCCUUUGAUAUGAAGCUUCUAUCUGGACAAACCAGCUAUCCUUCAUUUAUGUCAUUUGUAUGUGAUUGAGAAUGACUCAUUUCACUAAAUCUCCUUUUGGACUGUGUACACUGAUAAUAUAACUGAAUUUAAUAGCAUGAUAUGAGUAUGGUUAGUAGAGUUUUGUUUGUGAGGAAUGAAGUAAUAUUUGCUUAAAUUCCCUUUGGGUGUCCCUUUUGAUAGCUUUAAAUGAAGGUUGUGUAUACAUUAAGUACAUUAAGCGUAUAAGUGCAUGUAUGCUUUGUCUGCUUUUAGUAUACACGGUAAGUGUGUCUUUUAUAUGUCUUAAUAUACUUGGUGUAUAUUAGGCUGGUUUGUGUUGAUAUACGAAUUUCGUUUAAACUUUUCUUCCUCUUCUUUAUCUGAAACUGGUAUGCCAUGGUAUACCCAGGAAUAUACAGAAAUAUACCUUCAUGUAUGCCUUUGGUAUACAAAGGAUGUAGAUCAUGUAUAUUCGAAGUAUAUCACGUCAUAUCAACUGUUUGAUGUUGUUGAUUGGGCCAAGACCGUUUAGUUCUUUACUUCUUCUUUUGUUUAAACUCCUCGUGUGUUAGUACAUUGGGCAUGAAGCCCACAAAUAUUGCCUCGUUUAUAAUCUCUUUUUUUGCGCGGAUUGCCCUUCAAAGGCAAUGGUCUUUAAUUUUUGCCCUUCGCCUAUUACACCUAAGUUCUGGGUUCGAACCCCGAAUCAGUCAAGAAAAAAACAGAAUUUCGCAAGGUAGAGCUUGAAUUCGCAAGGCAGAGAAUUAUUCAGAGGCAAAGAAGGCACUAAUAACCAGACGAUUCAUACUAACUGUUGCAAAUACACAUAGAUAUUUCCAUGCUGCAACAUCCAUGAAAGUAAACCAUACGCUGCUACAAAAUUUUACAAUGAAAGAUGAGUAUUGAAGCAAGCUACAAAACUAAUUACAACAUAAGGACAAGAAACAAAAAUGUAAAGAAGCAGAACGAUAUGACAGAAAUUAAAGACAGCAUUUCAUGGAGCUUACCAAUAAAAGCUCAAGACCAUGGAAGAGUAAGACCUUCAGGAGAAACCAAAUGAAAGAAGGAAGUAGCUAGUAAGUUAAAGCUAGAGUUUGUCUUAUGCCUUCAAAACUCCUAUUCGUAGGCGAAAUUUUGCAUUGUGAAUCCAAGUUUUACCUUGCGGAAUUUUUUAAAAUUUUUUGAGUGAGCGGGGGUUUGACCCGGAACUUAGGAGUUUUAGGUGAAGGUCAAAAAUUAAAGACCAGCAAUUUGAGGGGCAAAAAUUAAAGUCCACCCCGAAAUAAGGGCAUUUCUGCCAAUUGCCCGUUUAUAAUCUGGAUAUCUUGGGUUGUUUGGGUGAUAUUGUUGUGCACUGAGAAUCUGUUUGGGCCUAAUUGUUAUGUAUGCUUCAUUGUUGGGUCCGUCAUGGCCCAUGACUGUUUUAAAUAUCAUUCAAAUAUUUCAGCAUGUGUACUAAGUGCGUAAUCAUGUUAUGCAUUUGUAUUUAAUUUCCUUGGUAAAUUGUUUGUUAGGUAUAGAUAUCUUCAAACCGUAUUUCUCCUUUUCCCCAUUUUCUUUGCAUGAACACUCAUCGUGUAGGCCUAUUAGCCCAAACCCUGCAUUGAAGCCGCUUCCAUUGGGCCGAACCCCAACACUUCUUUUAUCGAGUCCAACAACAACAUGAAGGCCCAACCAUGGGUGAUAAUUGUCCAUUAUUUCAGCUGGUGGGCUUAGUAAACCCACCAGCCCAUUUCCCUACUUUUUAUUUUGUAUGUACAUUGUAUUCUUGUAUAAUAUUGAAAUGCAUGAUUAGAA